UACGAAGGGGGCUAGCGUUACUCGGAUUGACUGGGCGUAAAGGGCGCGUAGGCGGUUUGUACAGUCAGACGUGAAAUUCCUGGGCUCAACCUGGGGGCUGCGUUUGAUACGUGCAGACUUGAGUUCGGAAGAGGGUCGUGGAAUUCCCAGUGUAGAGGUGAAAUUCGUAGAUAUUGGGAAGAACACCGGUGGCGAAGGCGGCGACCUGGUCCUGGACUGACGCUGAGGCGCGAAAGCGUGGGGAGCAAACAGG
rnacentral:rRNA from 1 species